UUAUACAGCGACUGCGAAUGGCUCAUUAUAUAAGUUAUCGUUUAUUUGAUAGUACCUUACUACUUGGAUAACCGUGGUAAUUCUAGAGCUAAUACAUGCUGAAAAUCCCGACUUCGGAAGGGAGGUAUUUAUUAGAUUAAAAACCAAUGCCCUCUGGGCUCCUUGGUGAUUCAUAAUAACUUUUCGAAUCGCACGGCCUUGCGCCGGCGAUGGUUCAUUCAAAUUUCUUCCCUAUCAACUUUCGAUGUUUGGGUAUUGGCCAAACAUGGUCGCAACGGGUAACGGAGGGUUAGGGCUCGACCCCGGAGAAGGAGCCUGAGAAACGGCUACUACAUCCAAGGAAGGCAGCAGGCGCGCAAAUUACCCAAUCCCGAUUCGGGGAGGUAGUGACAAUAAAUACUGAUACAGGGCUCUUUUGGGUCUUGUAAUUGGAAUGAGUACAAUUUAAAUCUCUUAACGAGGAACAAUUGGAGGGCAAGUCUGGUGCCAGCAGCCGCGGUAAUUCCAGCUCCAAUAGCGUAUAUUAAAGUUGUUGUGGUUAAAAAGCUCGUAGUUGAACCUUGGGCCUGGCUGGCCGGUCCGCCUCACCGCGUGUACUGGUCCGGCCGGGCCUUUCCCUCUGUGGAACCUCAUGCCCUUCACUGGGUGUGGCGGGGAAACAGGACUUUUACUUUGAAAAAAUUAGAGUGCUCCAGGCAGGCCUAUGCUCGAAUACAUUAGCAUGGAAUAAUAAAAUAGGACGCGUGGUUCUAUUUUGUUGGUUUCUAGGACCGCCGUAAUGAUUAAUAGGGACAGUCGGGGGCAUCAGUAUUCAAUUGUCAGAGGUGAAAUUCUUAGAUUUAUUGAAGACUAACUACUGCGAAAGCAUUUGCCAAGGAUGUUUUCAUUAAUCAGGAACGAAAGUUAGGGGAUCGAAGACGAUCAGAUACCGUCGUAGUCUUAACCAUAACUAUGCCGACUAGGGAUCGGACGAUGUAUUUUUUGACGCGUUCGGCACCUUACGAGAAAUCAAGUGCUGGGCUCAGGGGAGUAUGGUCGCAGCUGAACCUAAGAAUGACGAGCACCACAAGGUAAACGCUCAUGCAGCGCAGUAGCUCUGCU
rnacentral:rRNA from 1 species